rnacentral:rRNA from 1 species
GACGAACGCUGGCGGCGUGCUUAACACAUGCAAGUGGAGCGACGAACCAGGCUUCGGCCUGGGGCAGAGCCGCGAACGGGUGAGUAACACGUGGGUAACCUGCCCUGAUGACUGGGACAACCCGGGGAAACCCGGGCUAAUACCGGAUGUGCUGCUCCCACACCAGUGGGAGUAGGAAAGGAAGCUUCGGCCUCCGCAUCAGGAUGGGCCCGCGGCCCAUUAGCUUGUUGGUGAGGAACGGCUCACCAAGGCUUCGAUGGGUAGCUGGUCUGAGAGGACGAUCAGCCACACUGGGACUGAGACACGGCCCAGACUCCUACGGAGGCAGCAGUGGGGAAUCUUGCGCAAUGCGCGAAAGCGUGACGCAGCAACGCCGCGUGGGGGAAGAC